GAGGAAUAAUCAGAAAUAUGAUUGUACACAUUCAUGAAUCAUAAUUGAAAAAAAAAAUGAGAAACACAACAAAGGAAGCCCAGCCAGAGUGAACCAAGAAUGGUCAAACAAGCAGAAAGAUCAAGCUCUCUAUUACUAUCAAUAUUGUAUUGUAUUUGUAUUGUGAAUAGCCAGCCUCUCUCCAGGUACACUAGCUGUUUCCAGAGGUGGAGACCUCAGUGCUACAUAUUGGACACACCUUAUUUAUUUGUAACCAAUUGUUGAGGCAUUCAGAAUGAUACGUAUGUUUGCAGGACAACACGGUCAAUUUUUCACCAUCUUCAUAAUCCAAUCUACAUAUAACACACGAAUCAGUGGUUCCUUCUGAUGCAGUUUGUGUCUUAUAGUUCACGGAAGGCAAAGAGGCAAUUGUAU
rnacentral:misc_RNA from 1 species